UGUUUGGCUUGACCGGGGUGCUUGGCGUGCCCUAUACCCGAAAUCGUCAAUACGCGGGGGUGACAGCAGCGGGCGGGCCCGUUGAUGUCCUUGAGCCCAUCAAGCAACUAUGAAAUCUUGUCCUGUAGAGUCGGAGUUUGUCUUAGAAACGGCCGGAGGGUCGUUCUCCAGGCAUUAAUCGGGGGAACCGGGUCAGGUCCUGACGGGAGCAGCCUUACUUCGAACCACUGACGUUUACGGGAUCGCAGGGUUGAGGCGCGAAAUGGUCAACUUGGGGACGGAUGCGAGAACAACCGCUGUGGCCAGACA
rnacentral:SRP_RNA from 1 species